GUGGAAGCACCGCGAGGUGCGCAGCUGACCGGUACUAACCGGCCGAGGGCUUGACCA
rnacentral:rRNA from 1 species